rnacentral:snoRNA from 1 species
CCCCUCUCAGGUUCACACCUGCAGAGUUUCCAGCACUCUACCAGUCUCAGCUAUGGGAGGGAGAGUCAAGCAGAGGCCUACCCAUUCCAUGCCUAGCUUGGGCUGUUGCUAGUGAGUGGAAGGCAAUCUGCUACAAGU